AAUAUUGCGCAAUGGAGGGAACUCUGACGCAGCGACGCCGCGUGAGCGAUGAAGGUCUUCGGAUCGUAAAGCUCUGUCCUUGGGGAAGAAGGUCUUCGGACUUGACGGUACCCAAUGAGGAAGCCCCGGCUAACUACGUGCCAGCAGCCGCGGUAAUACGUAGGGGGCGAGCGUUGUCCGGAAUUACUGGGCGUAAAGGGUACGUAGGCGGCUAUAUAAGUCAGGUGUGAAAUACCAGUGCUUAACACUGGAAUUGCAUUUGAAACUGUGUAGCUUGAGUGCAGGAGAGGAAAGUGGAAUUCCCAGUGUAGCGGUGAAAUGCGUAGAUAUUGGGAGGAACACCAGUGGCGAAGGCGACUACCUGGACGAAAACUGACGCUGAUGCACGAAAGCUAGGGGAGCAAACA
rnacentral:rRNA from 1 species